GGUCGAUGGCUUAGUGGUUAAGGCGUUCGACUUUUAGUCUCCAGAACACUGGUUCGAACUCUAAUCCAGCUA
rnacentral:tRNA from 1 species